GAGGCUCGCCGGGCAACCUCCGCCCCGCCCUCGCGGGGGCUUGGCCAGCCCUUAUAGCUCCGGCCGCUUCCACGCCGCUUCCCAAAGCGAAGUUCGAGCCGCUCAGGAUGUGGCCGCCUCCCCAGCGCCGCCUCGCCGCCUCGCCUGCCCGCCGCCCGCCGCCGCUCGUGCUGCUGCUGCUGCUGCUGGGGGCUGCUGGGGCCGCCGCUCCUGCGCUGCGCCGCCGUGCCUCGCACCGCCAGUCCCCGCAUCCUGACCGCGGCGCAGGGGUGGAAAAAGUUCCAGUUUAAUACCACGGAGAAACACAUCGCUGUCUACCACGAAGAGGGCUCUUCUUCCGUCUUCGUCGGAGCCGAAAACAAACUUUACUAUUACAAUUUUGAAAACUCCACCAGCUACGUGGAACGUUUUGAUGUAAAUAUAUCCAGGUCCAUGUGUGAAAAUACC